GGGGACGACUGGUUUUGACAGCAAGGUCAGUUAGAAUGUAAGCAUACCGAGGAAUGAAAUCAUCACUCGUAAAACUUAUUUCAACUUUUUUAAACGGCGAAGAUAACUACGCUUUAGCUGCAUAGUCUGAAUUUCAGUAAGACUAGCCUAGGCACACAAGGUGUGCAAGCUUUAUGUCCACGAAAAGCCUUGGUUUAUGGCGUUUCACUUUUGGGCAUCGUAAAAAUAAACAUAGGAAUACUACUAUCUCGAUAGUAUUCUGAAAUUAAGAGAAUAAGCUUGUAGUAGGUUGUUUUUGAUCAGUUACUUGCCGACAAUUAAACAAAAACUAAGUAUGUAGAAAGCCUUUUGGCUGCUUGUUUGGACCCGAGUUCGAUUCUCGGCGUCUCCACUC
rnacentral:tmRNA from 1 species